rnacentral:rRNA from 1 species
UUUGGUUGAUCCUGGCAAUAGUCAUAUGCUUGUCUUAAAGAUUAAGCCAUGUAUGUGUAAGUAUGAGCUGAUUUAUGCUAUGAAACUAUGAAUGGCUCAUUAAAUUUGUUAUAGAUUGUUUGAUGGUAUCUACUGCUUAGAUAACCAUAGUAAUUCUAAAGCUAAUAUGUGCAACAAACCUUAACUUCUGAAAGGGAUGCAUUUAUUAGAUAAAAAGCCAACACAGGUUUUGCUCGUUGCUCUGAUGAUUCAUCAUAACUCAAUGGAUCACAUGGCUUUUAUGCUAAUGACGCAUCAUUCAAAUUUCUUCCCUAUCAACUUUUGAGGGUAGGAUAGUGGCCUAACAUGGUGGUGACAACGGUUGAUAGAGAAUUAGGGUUCAGUUCUAGAGAGGGAGCCUAAGAAACAACUAGCACUUCUAAGGAAGGCAGUAAGCAUGUAAAUUACCCAAUCUUGACAUAAGAAGGUAGUGAUAAUAAAUAACAAUACCAAGCUCUAUGAGUUUGAUAAUUGGAAUGAGUACAAUCUAAAUCACUUAACGAGGAUCCAUUUGAGGGCAAGUCUGGUGUCAGCAGCCAUAAUAAUUCUAGCUCUAAUAAUGUAUAUUUAAAUUGUUGUAGUUAAAAAGCUUAUAGUUGGAACUAGGGUUGGAUCAUUCGGUCUACUCAUCCCUAUUGCUGAUAAUGUGCUCCUAGCUUUAACUAGCCUGGUCGUUCUUUCAUCACUAUUGCUUUGAAGAAAUUGAAGUUCUCAAAGCAAGCCUACGCUUGUAUACAUGAGCAUGGGAUAAAAUAACAAGACUGCCAAUAAUGCACUCAUAGCCUUAACUAGUAGGGUCAUUCCUCUGAUGUUAUUGCUUUGAAGAAAUUGGAGUGCUCAAAGUAGGCCUACGCUUGUACACAAUAGCAUGGGAUAAAAUAAUAGGAUUUUGGUUCUAUUAUGUUAACCUUCGAGAUCAAAGUAAUGAUUAACAAAGAUGGUCCAAGGCAUCAUAUUUCAUUGUCAGAGGUGAAAUUCUUGGAUUUAUAAAAGACAAACAAUUGGAAAAGCUUUUGCCAAUGAUGUUUUCAUUUAUUAAGAAAGAAAGUUGAGAGCUUAAAGAUGAUCAAAUACCAUCUUAGUUUUAACCAUAAAUGAUGCCUACCAGGGAUCAACAGAUCUUACUUUUAGGACUCCAUUGGUACUUUAUGAGGAAUCAAAGUUUUUGGGUUCUAAGGGGAGAUGGUCGCAAGGUUGAAACAUAAAGGAUUUGAUAGAAGGGCACCACCAAGAGUGGUGCUUAUGGUUUAAUGUGACUUAACAUAAGAAAAAUUACUAGGUCCAAAUAUAGUAAGGAUUGAUAGAUUAAGAGUUCUUUCUUGAUUCUACUAGUUGGUGUAGCAAUUUAUCUAGUUAAUUCUAUUAAUGAAUAAACCUCAACCUACUAACUAGCUAUGCGGAGGUGAUCCUUCAUUGCUAGCUUUUUAGAGGGACUAUGUCUACUUAGGCUAAGGAAGUUUAAAGCAGUAAUAGGUCUGUGAUGCCCUUAGAUGUUAUGGGCUACACAUGCGCUACAUUGAUAUAUUCAACGAGUCUAUAGCCAUGGCCUAUAGGCCUAGCUAAUCAUUGAAAUUUCAUCAUGAUAGGGAUAGAUCAUUGCAAUUGUUGGUCUUUAAUAAGGAAUUCCUAGUAAGCGUGAGUCAUUAGCUCAUGUUGAUGAUGUUCUUGGCCUUUCUACACACUACCCAUUGCUCCUACUGAUUGAAUGGUCUGGUGAAGUGUUCAAAUUAUGACAACAUGGAUGGUUCAUUGCUCGAAACAUCGAAAGAAGUCCAUUGAACCUUAUCAUUUAGAGGAAGGAGAAGUCGUAACAAAGUUUUCAUAGGUGAACCUAUGGAAG